GACGGGGGGGGCAAGUGUUCUUCGGAAUGACUGGGCGUAAAGGGCACGUAGGCGGUGAAUCGGGUUGAAAGUGAAAGUCGCCAAAAAGUGGCGGAAUGCUCUCGAAACCAAUUCACUUGAGUGAGACAGAGGAGAGUGGAAUUUCGUGUGUAGGGGUGAAAUCCGUAAAUAUACGAAGGAACGCCAAAAGCGAAGGCAGCUCUCUGGGUCCCUACCGACGCUGGGGUGCGGAAGCAUGGGGAGCGAACAGG
rnacentral:rRNA from 1 species